rnacentral:hammerhead_ribozyme from 1 species
AUCCAGCUGACGAGCCCCCAAUAAGACGAAACGCGCGUCCCAGAU